rnacentral:rRNA from 1 species
GUAGGGUGCAAGCGUUAAUCGGGAAUUACUGGGGCGUAAAGCGUGCGCAGGCGGUUUUGUAAGUCUGACGUGAAAGCCCCCGGGGCUCAACCUGGGGAAUUGCGUUGGAGACUGCAAGGCUUGAAUCUGGCAGAGGGGGGUAGAAUUCCACGUGUAGCAGUGAAAUGCGUAGAGAUGUGGAGGAACACCGAUGGCGAAGGCAGCCCCCUGGGUCAAGAUUGACGCUCAUGCACGAAAGCGUGGGGAGCAAACAGGAUUAGAUACCCUGGUAGUCCACGCCCUAAACGAUGUCUGCUAGUUGUCGGGUCUUAAUUGACUUGGUAACGCAGCCAACGCGUGAAGUAGACCGCCUGGGGAGUACGGUCGCAAGAUUA